ACUAUUUUGGCAGAUUAGUGCAAUAAAUUUAGAAUUUAUUUAUGUGAUUUAUAUUACAAAUAGUA
rnacentral:tRNA from 1 species